rnacentral:rRNA from 1 species
UACGAGGGGGGCGAGCGUUGUUCGGAAUUAUUGGGCGUAAAGGGUGCGUAGGCGGUUUGGUAAGUCUUGUGUGAAAUCUACAGGCUCAACUUGUAGUCUGCACGAGAAACUGCCGGGCUUGAGUAUGGGAGAGGUGAGUGGAAUUCCUGGUGUAGCGGUGAAAUGCGUAGAUAUCAGGAGGAACACCUGUGGCGAAAGCGGCUCACUGGACCAUAACUGACACUCAACUGCGAAAGCGUGGGUAGCAAACAGG